rnacentral:rRNA from 1 species
AUUGAACGCUGGCGGCAUGCUUUACACAUGCAAGUCGAACGGUAACAGGCCGCAAGGUGCCGACGAGUGGCGAACGGGUGAGUAAUGCAUCGGAACGUGCCCAGUCGUGGGGGAUAACGCAGCGAAAGCUGCGCUAAUACCGCAUACGAUCUAUGGAUGAAAGCGGGGGACCGUAAGGCCUCGCGCGAUUGGAGCGGCCGAUGUCAGAUUAGGUAGUUGGUGGGGUAAAGGCUCACCAAGCCAACGAUCUGUAGCUGGUCUGAGAGGACGACCAGCCACACUGGGACUGAGACACGGCCCAGACUCCUACGGGAGGCAGCAGUGGGGAAUUUUGGACAAUGGGCGAAAGCCUGAUCCAGCAAUGCCGCGUGCAGGAAGAAGGCCUUCGGGUUGUAAACUGCUUUUGUACGGAACGAAACGGUCCUGGUUAAUACCUGGGGCUAAUGACGGUACCGUAAGAAUAAGCACCGGCUAACUACGUGCCAGCCGCCGCCGUAAGAC